AAAAUACUAAAUUUACUAAUAGUAGAAAAGUCAAAUAGCACAAAUAAGUCAUUGGGUACAGUACAAAAAUUAUCUAACUUUCUAACUCUGUCUCCUUGACUACCAGUAAUUAUCAAUGAACAACUCAAAGGUGCAGUUAAACAGCAGAGGCCACAAGCAAAGCUAAUGCAUUCAUCAAACCAGAGUUACAGUCUGCAAUCAACGCAAUCACCAGAGCACAUAAAGCAUCUGCGCCCAACAAGCAUCAUAACCUCAGUAAUAAGGUGGCACAUUGGGAUACAUUCCUCCAGGUGGAACACGUGGUGCUGGUGAUGUUCCCGCCGGUUGAUGGUGCUGAUUUGGGUGCCCGGAUGCUGAUGACAUGCUAUAAUGCCCACUGUCCGGAUAACCACCAGAAGGCAUUCCGACCGAACUCUGUGGCAACCUAUAAAGAGAUGAAGCACCCCCAGCUCCGCCCAAUCCACCUCCAGAACCACCCAAACCCCCACCUACACUUCCCAUACCGCCAUAAAUUGAGGAACCAGGCCCGCCGUACCCACCACCAUAUGGUCCGGCACCAUAUCCGCCGGAGCUUCCUAACGAAGAUGGAGCCUGACCACCGACAGAAGAUAGACCCGGCCCCAUUGACGAGUUGAGUGGAUGAUGAGCCAGUGGCUGCGCCCCUUGAAUCCCACUAGAAAAGCCUCCAUAUGAACCCAUGCCUCCCGGGCCACCAUAUUGUCCGCCUGAACCGGGCAUUGCCGACGGAGGAGCCAUUGGCAUACCAUCACCAUGCACGUUUCCUUGACCUGCCCCCUGCGUUUGAAUUCCAUCCGGCCCACCACCAGGCUUCCCUUUCUUCCCAUCGUUAGCAAAUUUACAACUCAACUGCCUUCCGUCAAUCGUCUUGAUAGGAUCCACUAGAGCUGCCUGAGCACCCUCUGGCUUUUUGUACACAAACAAAGCAUAACCUCUACAUUUCCCCGUCUGCUUAUCGAACCCUAGCGGUCCCUCCUCAAUUUCUCCAUACAGCGAAAAGUGUGCCAACAAUUUAUCGGCCGGCAUAUCCAUCGGAACAUUCGCCACAUAAAUUUUCCUCAACGACAAGUCCGCAGCGUUGGAAUUCUGCCCGGAAAUUCCCACCGCAGCCAAUUGCGUCACCGUAACACGGCCAUCAAUUGUCUUGCUCGGUUCCUUCAAAGCCAGUAUAGCACCAUCAACAUGCUUAAAAGUCACAAAGCCAUAACCUUUCGAUUUCCCGGUUGCCUUAUCAAUAAUAACAACAGCUUCUUCAAGCUCGCCAUACGCGGAAAAGAGAGAACGCAAACCUUCUGUACUUGUAUCGCAACUAAGACCCCGAAUAAACAGCUUCCGCUGGGAGACAUCUCGGUCGGCAAUAGAUCGUACAGCAUCAAGAACAUCCAAGUGACGCGAAACCGCAUCUUGUAGAAUAUCGAUAAGCUGGUCGGGAGUGAAACGAUCAAUGAUCUUACGGGCGUCUUCGGGGGUAAUUCUUGAGAAAGUAUUGUCGGAGGAGUCGACGCCAUUUUCGUCCAUCCUCCGCUUCUUGGUGACGUCCAUAGCGUAUGGGAGAUGAAGAAAGUCGGUCCCUGGAAGUGUAGAGUAGAAGUAGAAGAAAAGAAGAGGGUGAAGCUAAACCCUAAUCCGAGUCUUGGAA
rnacentral:misc_RNA from 1 species